rnacentral:rRNA from 1 species
AACGAACGCUGGCGGCAGGCUUAACACAUGCAAGUCGAGCGAGACCUUCGGGUCUAGUGGCAGACGGGUGAGGAACACGUGGGAACAUCCCUUUCAGUUCGGAAUAACGUUGGGAAACUAACGCUAAUACCGGAUACGUCCUUCGGGAGAAAGAUUUAUCGCUGAAAGAUUGGCCCGCGUCUGAUUAGCUAGUUGGUGAGGUAAUGGCUCACCAAGGCUACGAUCAGUAGCUGAUCUGAGAGGAUGAUCAGCCACAUUGGGACUGAGACACGGCCCAAACUCCUACGGGAGGCAGCAGUGGGGAAUAUUGGACAAUGGGCGCAAGCCUGAUCCAGCCAUGCCGCGUGAGUGAUGAAGGCCUUCGGGUUGUAAAGCUCUUUUGUCCGGGAAGAUAAUGACUGUACCGGAAGAAUAAGCCCCGGUAAACUUCGUGCCAGCAGCCGCCGUAA